rnacentral:lncRNA from 1 species
AUGGUGGUAUAAUUGAGAUAGUUAUUGCAAUGAUUUUGAGGUUAAAUGGACAUGAUUUAAGUGGCGGAUCUAGGAUUCCGACCAAGCGGGAACGUUUUAUAAAUAGGCGGUAACGAAAUCGAAAAAACGUCAAAUUUUUCCAAAAUUUACACUAAAAACGUCAAAAAUUUUCCGACCAAGCGGUAGCGGAGGCUACCCCUUGAUACAAGGUGCAUCCGCCCCUGCAUGAUUUUGAGGUUGAAUGGGCAUUUGGGGUUAUAAAAAGUUCUAAGUAUGGAUAAUUUAAUGUUCAAACGGAUUUGAGUGUAAAGAUUCAUAUGAAUUAAUGUAUUUUUUAACAGUGAAUUGAAUCGAAUCGGAGAUGCUUGUGGUGUAGUUUGGUUAGAGCAAAAGGUUCUUGAAUUUAGUGUGGGUUACUCUAGAUCUAUGGUUAUUUAGGGUUUAGAGGUUGAUUUGGAGUGAACUUGUGAUGAUAGACACGGAAUUCAAGUUUGUUGUUUGACAUUUAAAGAAAUUGAUAGAGAAUUAUAUUUAAAACGGUUGUGUUAUUAUAAACUCGUUGUGUGAUUAUAAUUAUGUAAGAAAGAUCUUUAGAUUGCUUGUUUGUGAAUUUGUGACAUAUAUAUAGUAGCAUAAUCAACACAUGAACAAACGAUAUAUAGUGUCCGAGGUGGAUAUAAACAAAUUUACCUUACAUCCACUACUUGGCAUGCCAAAAUAGCUGAUGCCAACUAGUGUUCUAGUUAAAUGGUAGAGAUCAUUGAUGUACAAAUGUUUCACUAGUAAUAAUAAUAACUUAUUCACUUUUCACAAAAGAGAGGAAGUGUUCAUCGAUAGAGAUCACCUUAGCUUCGCAUUUUUACAAUGUGGAAAAGGUCAUGAUUAACUUAUCACAUUCAAAGAAAUGUCCACUUGUUUAUAGUGAUUAUCAAGUGGAAACUGUACUCUCACUCUCACUCAAUCUUCUCUUCCUUUGGUCUUCCUCUUAAGUUUGCAAUUUCAAAAUUGUAAAGAACUAAAUGAUGCUGAAUAUGCUAUAAAAAAUUAAAAAAAAAACCCCUUUAAACUAAUGAAGUGAAAUCACCUUGGGAUUGAAUCAAGAGUUCUCAAUCACUAAAGUUAUUCCUAAACAAUAACAAUAACCGAUGUACAAGUCCCACGGUAGUUCGUACCUUUUUUUACAUCUCACUAAAAUAGACAGUAAUACGUUCCACAUUUCUUUCUUUGAAUAGUUUUCAUGGUUACGGUGUGGAAACGACACCCACAAACUUUUCAUUGUCUAGUAAUUGUAUCACAUGUUAUAAACAUUUAUUAAAUAAAAUAAUAGUAUAUGAAUGACGCCUUUCACUUCAUCUCUCUUCUAUUUCUUAAUUCUUAAGGUUGAAAUCCCGCGAAGUAUGGAUAAUUAAUCACCAAUGUUUUGGUGCAUUUGAAUGUCUCUAUACGCAAGAGACGUCGAAUGUGUUAGAAGGAAUAAUCCUUAAAUAUAUGUGUGUGUGUGAGAGAGAGAGAGAAUGACAUAAUUUAUCACGACUGAUGCAUGGUCUAACGUUGAUGUUGAUUGUACCAUGUCUCACACGUACUUUAUAUUCAUUGCAAAUAUCAAAAUUUAUUUUAGUUUUAUCUCAUGCCUUGUAUGCAUAAGUAGUUGAGCAUUAAAAUUUAAAUUAGAAAAAUGGGAUGAAGUGUUUUACAAGAUUUGUAAGGAAUUAUAACCAGAAAAUGAGCAUUUGUUCAUAGUAAAAGUGCACGUUUUCAUUUAAUGAAUUUACCUUUUUUUACUUGGUUAGUAAAAGUGCACGUUUUCAUUUAAUGAAUUUACCUUUUUUUUACCUGGUUUUAAAUAUGAAACCUUACCAAAAAUUUUUGACCUACUCUUAUACAUUUUAAAUCAAAAUGUCUGGUGAAUUUUCCAUAUAUGUUCCUUCUGUUAGAUAUUAUGUCCAGUUCGAUAAGUCAACGCUGCUGACCGGGUCUUGACCCGUAAGAGUUACAUCUUGGGCAACGAACUAAAAAUCCACUUAAUCUGUUUAACUGGUAAUUACGAACAACAUACGAGACUGAUCAUAAUUAUAUUUAUAAUCAUAAGCGGGUAUUAACUGAGAGACGGAUACAUGGACCAGGUGACACGGGUAUUCUCACCCAUUUCCACUUGUCGCGCACCAAACCUUUGGUCAAUUACAACACAUGCAAUUUUGCAUGAGUGCCACUUGGCUUGCAUGCAAGAAGGUCCAUGUCUUUAAAUUGUGGGUCUUGCAUUUUGGAGUUGA